rnacentral:rRNA from 1 species
CCUACGGGAGGCAGCAGUGAGGAAUAUUGGUCAAUGGGCGCGAGCCUGAACCAGCCAAGUAGCGUGAAGGAUGACUGCCCUCCGUGUUUUAAGCUUCUUUUAUAAAGGAAUAAUGUGAGGCACGUGUUCCUUUUUCUAUGUACUUUAUGAAUAAGGCUCGGCUCACUCCGUGCCAGCAGCCGCGGUAAUACGGAGGAUCCGAGCGUUAUCCGGAUUUAUUGGGUUUAAAGGGAGCGUAGAUGGGUUGUUAAGUCCGUUGUGAAAGUUUGCGGCUCAAACGUAAAAUUGCAAUUGAUACUGGCAGUCUUGAGUACAGGUGAGGUAGGCGGAAUUCGUGGUGUAGCGGUGAAAUGCUUAGAUAUCACGAAGAACUCCGAUUGCGAAGGCAGCUUACUAACCUGCAACUGACAUUGAUGCUCGAAAGUGUGGGUAUCAAACAGGAUUAGAUACCCCUGUAGUC